rnacentral:rRNA from 1 species
CGGACGGGUGAGUAACGCGUGGGUAACCUGCCUCACACAGGGGGAUAACAGUUGGAAACGACCGCUAAUACCGCAUAACCCGCUGGUAUCGCAUGAUACUGACAGAAAAGAUUUAUCGGUGUGAGAUGGACCCGCGUCUGAUUAGCCAGUUGGCAGGGUAACGGCCUACCAAAGCGACGAUCAGUAGCCGGCCUGAGAGGGUGAACGGCCACAUUGGGACUGAGACACGGCCCAAACUCCUACGGGAGGCAGCAG